CGGGGCGUGGCGCAGCUUGGUAGCGCGCUUCGUUCGGGACGAAGAGGUCGCUGGUUCGAAUCCAGCCGCCCCGACCA
rnacentral:tRNA from 1 species